CCCUUAUCAAGCCCUCCCGUUCCUAGGGGGAAGCAGUGGACCAUGGCGUAUUCCAGAGACAGGGUAACGAAGGUUUAGUGAAUGGGGGGAUUAUGUCUGCCAAUCAGAGGGUUCGGAUGGGAGGCCUGGGUGUCAGGGAAACAAUGUCUAAUCCCUCCUAAGCAGUCUCCUCGGCAGCAGAGGGUGCUGGGUGAAAUCAGGAUGAAGGGACAACCGGAGGAGCCAGACACAACAGUAGAGAGGUGAAUAAGCCAGGGGAACACUACAGCAACUGUAUCAACAUUUUGAUGCUGUUUCUGGACAAGAGGAGAGCAUGGAUUUUUGUUUAACUUGCUUAUGAAAAAAACACAUUUAGUGACUGUAAAGUGCUCUCCAUGGUGCUGAAAGGACUUAGCACUGCAGCAAUAAGCACAGAAAUACAGCCACACAAGGAACACAU